AGAGUUUGAUCCUGGCUCAGGACAAACGCUGGCGGCGUGCGUAACACAUGCAAGUCGAACGGGGGUGUGGUUUUCGGACCACAUUCGAGUGGCGGACGGGUGCGUAACACGUGGAUAACCUACCCAGAGGUGGGGGAUACCCGGUAGAAAUACCGGCUAAGACCGCAUGCGGUGACCUAUGCGUGAGGUGUGGGUCAAGAAAGGCCACUCGUAGGAGUGGCCGCCUUUGGAGGGGUCUGCGGGCGAUUAGCUAGUUGGUGGGGUAAGAGCCUACCAAGGCAGCGAUCGGUAGCUGGUCUGAGAGGAUGAUCAGCCACACUGGGAUUGAGAACGGCCCAGACUCCUACGGGGGGCAGCAGUGAGGGAUCUUCGUCAAUGGGGGCAACCCUGAACGAGCAACGCCGCGUGUGGGACGACGGCCUUCGGGUUGUAAACCACUUUUCUCGGGGACGAGACAGGACGGUACCCGAGGAAGAAGUCUCGGCUAACUACGUGCCAGCAGCCGCGGUAAUACGUAGGAGACGAGCGUUGUCCGGAGUUACUGGGCGUAAAGGGUGCGCAGGCGGCCUGGCGCGUCGCGAGUGAAAUCUCCUGGCUCAACUGGGAGGGUGGUCGCGAGACGGCUGGGCUUGAGGCUCGGUGAGGGGCGUGGAAUUCCGGGUGGAGCGGUGAAAUGCGUAGAGAUCCGGAGGAACACCGACGGCGUAGGCAGCGCCCUAGACGAGACCUGACGCUCAGGCACGAAAGCGCGGGGAGCGAACAGGAUUAGAUACCCUGGUAGUCCGCGCCGUAAACGAUGUCCACCAGGUGUUGGGGGUAUCGACCCCUCCAGCGCCGCAGCUAACGUGAUGAGUGGACCGCCUGGGGAGUACGGCCGCAAGGUUAAAACUCAAAGGAAUUGACGG
rnacentral:rRNA from 1 species